rnacentral:rRNA from 1 species
AGGACAAACGCUGGCGGCGUGCCUAAGACAUGCAAGUCGGACGGGAGGCUUCGGCCUCUAGUGGCGGACGGGUGAGGAGCGCGUGGAGAACCUGCCCCGGGGUGGGGGAUACCCGCCAGAAAUGGCGGUUAAGACCGCAUACGAAUGCACCGUGCAGGCGGUGUAGGGAAAGCAGUGAUGUGCCCUGGGAGGGCUCCGCGUCGGAUUAGCUGGUUGGUGGGGUAACGGCCUACCAAGGCGACGAUCCGUAGCUGGUCUGAGAGGACGGCCAGCCAUACUGGGACUGAGACACGGCCCAGACUCCUACGGGAGGCAGCAGUUAGGGAAUUUUGACAAUGGGCGCAAGCCUGAUCGAGUGACGCCGCGUGCGGGAUGACGCCUUUCGGGGUGUAAACCGCUUUUCCCAGGGACGAGGAGGGACGGUACCUGGGGAAGAAGGUCUCGGCUAACUACGUGCCAGCAGCCGC